UCACUGAUAAAAGCAUUACAGAUGUAUUCCAACACCAUUAAUGAUUAUACAAUAAAGAGGUCAAUACUUAGUCUAACACAUGAUGACUUUUACACAAGUUAAUUAUUGGUAAACAUACAAUGUGCACAUUACCACAGAUGAAAACUAGGUGUCUAUGUUGCUCCAUCGCAGAUUCAUAGUUGAGGAGGGGCGAGAAUUCUCCCAGAGUAAUACAAUUGUAUUAUCUUCCCUGGAUAAUGUCAAAAUCGACACUUGAUGGUCGAUAGCAGAGUUUACGGCCCCCUAGCACAACAAAUUGUUCCUUUUUUCAAACUGAAACAUCUGUCA